AUUGAACGCUGGCGGCAUGCCUUACACAUGCAAGUCGAACGGCAGCACGGGUGCUUGCACCUGGUGGCGAGUGGCGAACGGGUGAGUAAUACAUCGGAACAUACCUUAUCGUGGGGGAUAACGCAGCGAAAGCUGUGCUAAUACCGCAUACGCCCUGAGGGGGAAAGCGGGGGAUCGAAAGACCUCGCGCGAUUAGAGCGGCCGAUGCCUGAUUAGCUUGUUGGUGGGGUAAAAGCCCACCAAGGCGACGAUCAGUAGCUGGUCUGAGAGGACGAUCAGCCACACUGGGGCUGAGACACGGCCCAGACUCCUACGGGAGGCAGCAGUGGGGAAUUUUGGACAAUGGGGGCAACCCUGAUCCAGCAAUGCCGCCUGAGUGAAGAAGGCCUUCGGGUUGUAAAGCUCUUUUGUCAGGGAAGAAACACCGGCUCUAACACAGUCCGGGAAUGACGGUACCUGAAGAAUAAGCACCGGCUAACUACGUGCCAGCCGCCGCCGUAA
rnacentral:rRNA from 1 species